rnacentral:rRNA from 1 species
UUCUGACUGUGAAGCCGGGCUGUAAGGCAUCCGGUGGAGUGAUCAGAAGUGAGAAUGUUGACAUGAGUAGCGACAAACAGGGUGAGAGACCCUGUCGCCGAAAGUCCAAGGGUUCCUGCUUAAAGCUAAUCUGAGCAGGGUAAGCCGGCCCCUAAGGCGAGGCCGAAAGGCGUAGUCGAUGGGAACCAGGUUAAUAUUCCUGGGCCAGGAGAUGGUGACGGAUCCCAGAGGUAGUUCAUCCUUAUCGGAUUGAAUGGGCUGCUGAGGGGUUCCUGGAAAUAGCCCUCCAUGAGACCGUACCCUAAACCGACACAGGUGGACUGGUAGAGAAUACCAAGGCGCUUGAGAGAACCACAUUUAAGGAACUCGGCAAAAUACCUCCGUAAGUUCGCGAGAAGGAGGCCCCGUUCGUAGGCAACUAUGGGCGGGGGGCACAAACCAGGGGGUGGCGACUGUUUACUAAAAACACAGGGCUCUGCGAAGUCGCAAGACGACGUAUAGGGUCUGACGCCUGCCCGGUGCCGGAAGGUUAAAAGGAGAUGUGCAAGCAUUGAAUUGAAGCCCCGGUAAACGGCGGCCGUAACAAUAACGGUCCUAAGGUAGCGAAAUUCCUUGUCGGGUAAGUUCCGACCUGCACGAAUGGCGUAACGACUUCCCCGCUGUCUCAAAUGUGGACUCAGCGAUAUUGAAUUGUCUGUGAAGAUGCAGACUUCCCGCGGUUAGACGGAAAGACCCCAUGCACCUUUACUAUAGCUUCGCACUGGCAUCAGGAUUGUGAUGUGCAGGAUAGGCGGUAGGCUUUGAAAUCGGGACGCCAGUUCCGAUGGAGCCAUCCUUGAGAUACCGCCCUUCGCACUCUUGAUGUCUAACCGCGGCCCGUUAUCCGGGUCCGGGACCCUGCGUGGUGGGUAGUUUGACUGGGGCGGUCGCCUCCUAAAGAGUAACGGAGGCGCGCGAAGGUUGGCUCAGAGCGGUCGGAAAUCGCUCGUUGAGUGCAAUGGCAGAAGCCAGCCUGACUGCAAGACUGACAAGUCGAGCAGAGUCGAAAGACGGCCAUAGUGAUCCGGUGGUCCCGAGUGGAAGGGCCAUCGCUCAACGGAUAAAAGGUACGCUGGGGAUAACAGGCUGAUGAUGCCCAAGAGUCCAUAUCGACGGCAUCGUUUGGCACCUCGAUGUCGGCUCAUCUCAUCCUGGGGCUGGAGCAGGUCCCAAGGUUACGGCUGUUCGCCGUUUAAAGAGGUACGUGAGCUGGGUUUAGAACGUCGUGAGACAGUCCGGUCCCUAUCUGCCGUGGGUGUAGGAUACUUGAGAGGAGUUGCCCCUAGUACGAGAGGACCGGGGUGAACGUUCCACUGGUGGACCAGUUGUCGUGCCAACGGCAGUGCUGGGUAGCUAUGAACGGACAGGACAAACGCUGAAGGCAUCUAAGCGUGAAGCCCCCCUCAAAACCAGGUAUCCCUUGAGAGCCGUGGAAGACCACCACGUCGAUAGGCCGGAGAUGUAAGCGCAGCAAUGCGUUCAGUUGACCGGUACUAAUGGCUCU